CUCCAUCACUCACUCUCACUCACUGUAAUGCUCUCACUCAAUCAAACUGGCCGUCAGUCACUCAGUCUCACUUGCUCACUUCCUCACACAAACUCUCUCCAUUACAUUCUGCUUCUUGAGCUUAUUAUUAUCUUUUAAAAUGUUGGGUCCACAUUAAGUAAAGGCGUGACUGUAUUGUCAUAAAACACUAAAGCGGGGGGACUUUUAAUGUGGCGUUUGACUGGUCCUCAGAACGGUUUGUGUGUGUGUGUUCCAACACCAACCUGCUCACAGCUGGACUUAAACCUCCUUUCCUCUCCUCUUCCUCUCCUCUUCCUCCCAGGGCUUCAGCGUGGAGCGCAAGACCCGGCAGCCCGGCGUCAUCGACUGAGAUCAGGCCCCGCCCCCUGUCCCGCCCCCCUGCCACGCCCCAGCCGGCUGUGCGACUAGAUUAAGAAAUGCUCCCCGCCCCCCCUCUUUAUCUGCUUGUAAAAAAUCCAACGCACAAUCCCAUGCUGCCGCGCCUCCACCCGCCUGGUUACUACCUGCCUGGUUACUACCCGCCUGGUUACCCGCUGAUCACCUGCUUGUUACCCGCUACCAGCGGCAGGGGGGUCCUCUCAUUCCACGUCUCCCCCCCCCCCCCUCCCUCCCUCCCCUGUGUGUGAUGUACUGCAGGGUACACAAGAUCUCUCUGACUGUUUGUGCGUGUGUGUGUGUGUGUGUGUGUGUGCUGUAUCCUACGAUUGGUCGUAUCGAGUAACGGAAGAUAUUUGUGUUUUUGUUCAGUUCUUGGGGGCGUCGCCCAAUCAAAGUGUCCGCCUUGGUUUCGUUUUGUUUAUUUUCCCUCGUUUUUAUUAGAUGUUGUGUUUUUUUGGGCUUUCCCUGGAAUUCUGCACCUGUGUUCUUUCCCCCGGACUUCCAUGUUGUAAGCGUGUGAGUUAUAGCAUGUGCAUCCCUCCCCCCCCCCCCUUCAGCAUCCUGUGGUCCUGGCCGCGAUUGGCCCGGGCCGUUCUCCCUGGAGACAGGAAACAGGAAGUGGCCUGGCUGUCGGGGGUUUCCCAUCGUCUGCUCUUUCUUUUUUUUUUUCCUCCAUCUUGCGUACGCUGGAGCGAGCGAGCCAAUCCCGGUUCUCUCCCUGCGGGCCGCUUUUCUGUUUUCCCUUUUUCGUUUCCGGAAACGUUUUUAAAAAGAAGACGAAAAAAUAAUGUAGGAAACAUUGAUGCUUGGUUCGCAGUGAGGGGCGGGCCGUACGGGGUCUUGGUUUGGACGUCCGACACCGGGUCGGAGAAAGCCUUCAGACGCCUGCGAGGUUGUGGGUUCGAGUCCCGUGACGGAGCGGCCCUGGUUUCGAUUUUUGUCGUGGUGGUGCAGAAUUCCUCGUGGCCUCGCGUCGUUCCACCGCCGUUCUUUUUCUACGGACGUUUCGUCGGUUUUUCUAAUUUUUUUUCUUGCACAUAUUUUUGCUUAACUUUACCAUGGAAGGUCAAUCUGCUAAUAAUGAAUUUAAGUAAGAAUAAGGUGCCUAUAAAAACUACACGCAAAAUAACAAAAAUAGAUGUGCCCCAUGAUCCCCCGGCCCCGCCCCCUCGACCUCCUGGUGGCCGGCCCUUUGGUUUCUCGUAGACAUACUGGUAUAAUACCAGUAUGAUACUGGUAUGCAUCCCGGUACGACGGGUGGAAAUAUACUGUAUGUAUUGUGUGAUUCUUUUAUUUUUUUCUCUUUUUUAUUUUUUUUCGUUUAGUGAGGAAAUUCAAACAGAAAAGAGAUAACAAAAAAUCAAACCUAACUUAAAAAAAAAAAAAAAAAAAGAAAUAAAAACAAUAAAUGAGAAAACGGAACAGGAGGUAUUAGAGAUAAUUACGUUUAAGGUAUAACGAAGAAGAAGAAGAAAUGAGGAGAGGUGUCGACGAUUUAGGGUGGCUGUUGUGCUCUCGGCCCCCCCUGCCGGGGGAGCGCACGUGCGUCCGUGCACGUGAAGCGAACGGCACGUAUCAGGUCAGCUCUCUGGAGAUCACUGGCUACAGUCUGACCUCCUGCAGAGGUUCAGUGUACUUUUGUUAAUGGUCUUGAAUGAAAACGAUUAAAGUUUUAUGAAUCUUAUAAAUCUUGUGGGCGUUUCAUUUGUGUGUUUUGUUUUAUGGGAAAGGCAUAUUCACUUUAUAGUAGGCGCAUGCAUAGCAGGUGGAACAUGGAUAUUCCUUCUCGAUGGCUUACAAUAAAAGUGGUUUUAAAACUUUCUUUUAAUAGUUUCUGUUGUAAGGUCAGCAUUUUUCAUCCAUUCCAAACAAAUCAAUUAAUAAAUCUGAUUCAAACUUAAUGGCAUUUUGACAAAUCGUGUUUGACAAUUGUAAAAAUAUUAACGUUCCAAAACACAAAUACUUGAUCGGUCAAGUUUACAACUUGGGAACCCACUAAUCCUUCCUUCUGGGGAUGGGAGGAACUGGGUGAACGCAUACUGCCCUGGUUGUUAAAAAAUGGCACUUGAUGUAAUCCCUUCUGGUAAUUAAUGUACACACUUAUUGUAUGUUGUACGUCCUUGCACUUAAAAAUAGCACUUAGCAUUGUGUAGCAUCUUAUCCUAGCUAUCUUUGAUG
ensembl:lncRNA